GUGGCUUUAGUUUAGUAAAAUACCUGCUUUGCAAGCAGGAGAGCUAAGUUAAAAUCUUAGAAGCUACA
rnacentral:tRNA from 1 species